CAGUCGCCACGGGAAUACAGAGGAUGCAGGCGUUAUCCGGAAUGAUUGGGCGUAAAGCGUCUGUAGGUGGCCUUUCAAGUCCGCCGUCAAAUCCCAGGGCUCAACCCAUAGUCUGCAUAGGAAACUGUCGGGCUUGAGAGUGGGAGAGGUGAGUGGAAUUUCCGGUGUAGCGGCGAAAUGCGUUGAGAUCGGAAAGAACACCAACGGCGAAAGCACUCUGUUGGGCCGACACUGACACUGAGAGACGAAAGCUAGGGGAGAAAAUGAGAUUAGAUACCCCAGUAGUCCCUGUCUCUUAUAA
rnacentral:rRNA from 1 species